CCUACUUAAGUGUAAAAAAUUAAAGUAAAUUAAACAGUAUAUAGAUCCCUCUUUAUACAAGCGAAACGUCAUAACAGAAUUUUACAGUUCCCAGAGAUCUUCGGCCUUGGGAGCUGUCAGUUUGGAUCAUUAAGACAGCCACUGGUGGGAUUAUCAGGUUCCGCUGAAGCUCGCCUGGGCCUUCUCCAUCCACAAGAGCCACUGCCUGCAGCGGGAGCCGUGAGGCCAUGUAAGAUAUGUGUGAGCCAAUCCUCAGGUGCUGACGUUCUACAAGCGCUUCCGGUCACGCGUCAUGGACACUACAAUGAUUUCUCUGGGACCCACGGACAAGGUCAAGCGGACAGACGAUGCCAACAGUGCCUUGGCCAAGAUCGCAAAGAGAAAAAGAUUUUGAUUUGCUGUGUGGCAUGCACUACGGUACAGGACAAAGAUGUUCAAAUAAGAACUAAACUAAAUACCAAUUAUUCAAAUUUACGAAUCCUCGAAUCCAGACAAUCGGAAAGCUUUAGUGUAGAAUUGUACGAUGAGUGGAUUUUGAAGUUUGAACAAUGAACACAGAAACCUUGCGUCUAAUAUGCUAGUGUUCUCGGACUGGACUUGGAAUAUUUUUAGUUUUGCUAAUUAAACUAAAGGAACCUUUAAGUCUGUUUGCUUCUUUAAACAUCUACAGAUAUCUCAGAAAACUGUUUGCUUUGCUUGAAGUUAAAGCAAUUAUGGAACCUGGAAUCAAGUUGGGCAAACACUCACUACUGGCUUCUCUUUGUGUGGAAUUUACGUAGGGAAAUAAAAUAGUAACUAUUCCAUUAUUUAUGCAAUUUUAACAAAUUUGAAAAUUAAACUCCAGACUGAAUAAAGGUCAAUGAUUAUCUUUUAUGGAU